CGGAUAAGCGCAGCCGACAUGGUUUCCAUUCAGGAGGCUGAUUCUCUUCCCAGAUGUACCACGAAGGCAGGUCUUUCAACAUCAUACACCCGCCUCCAGGCAAUCCAGCUGAGGCUGAUCACAUAUAAGUUUGUGACUGGCUAACUAUUUUCCCCCUGGAUCUCCUAUUGAGCCACAGCGAUCUCGAGGCUCAUUCUGCCGCAUCUAUAGUGUUGUCUGUUGUCAUUUGUCGCUCAAAGCCCAAUCUACUGUAGGCUUUGGGUAAGGACUGCAAAGCCGAAGCAGCUUGCCCUCAUCCACAUUGCCGGCAUUCACCAACCAGAGGUGAACUUCUUCUCGAAGUCCUUGUCCAAGCGAUCUUCCCAGGGGGCUGUUGGCUUCAGCAUGAGGACUUGGCUGGAGGAUUGGGACUUGAGAAUGAUAUCCGGUCUU